rnacentral:misc_RNA from 1 species
AGGGAUACAGGGAAAGUAAGCGUAAGAGCGGGUUCCGAGUGGGCGAACUGACGAGCAAAUCCUCCACAUGUGUGCGACAUUGUAAAAUUCAAAAGUGUAAAAAAAAAAUUCGAGUCGAAAUAUCGCUAGAUCUGGCGAAAAAAGCGUCGAAAAGCGAAGAGGGAAGAGCGAGCGAGUUUUCACUCGGGGCCGUUGUUUGUAAGAGUGCGCCGCCGUCGGACAACAAUAAAUGGAGCCUUGAAAGACACUCGGGGAGGUUGUACGCUUCGCCAAUUUAAUCUUCAUAUGAUGAUGAGUGACUUCGAGAAAUCGAACAGAAGAGGAAAAUAUCAACGGGACCGAGAGCUUUACACACCUGGUAGUGGUCCGCUGCGAAAAUCGUUUGGCCCGAGGGAUGGGCCGGUGAUGAAUUCUGAGAGUGUGCACAGAAAUGGACUGACCAAACCCAGAAUCUUAUCCCGUGAUGAAGAAGUUGAAAAAAUAACGAAAGAAUUGAAAAAAAUAACUCUAAGCGCGAAUAAGGAUGCCGAGCUGAGAAGUGAAGAUGUAUCAGGGAAAAGGCAGAGGAAACCAGGCUCCGAGAUUUAUGUUCCGAAACCCGCUCAACGGUUGCAUGACCAAAUAGAUGUUUUUGAAUUGAAACGGGCUGAAAAACAAAGUUCCAAUGAGAAUUUUGAAAAAGUACUGUACAGCACCGAUAGAAACGGGUUCAAAAGCGUUGAACGGUCUGGAAAGAAAAAAGACAAGAAAAAACGAUCCAAAGGGAAACAUGCCGACUCGGAAAAAACAGAACUUUCAAAGUCCAGAGACAGUAUGAACAAUCCUACAGACAAUUACACCGCCAACAGAUUCACACGUCACGGCUCGGAACCGCCUAUGAACCAAGAGAUGAACGUACAUUCGAGGGAUAUCCGCAGUGUUGAACCGGGCGGGAGUACGAAUUGGAAUCAUGACCGAAUGCACAACAAACCACCGGUCGGCUAUCAGAACAAAAGAAACAACCCGAAGAAUUUGCCUCCGAGGUUUCAAAAGAAAUUCAUGGCUGAAAACGGUUUAUUGGAACCUUCUGAGGAAAAGUUCAACCAGACUCCUUCAGAGACGGGCGAGAAGGCUGAUCUCGUCGAUCGCGACAGUCCCGAAUCGUUACGGUCUAAUUGCAACAUGGAACGAUUCAAGCGUCCUCAGUCGUUGUCCGAAGAAUGGUCUAAGUCCUUACCUAAAACUAGAGGCCGAGGCCGAGGUGCUCUUAAAAAGGAUGUCUACGAAAGUUUAACUGCAAACAGGAUAAUCCAAACACCAUCCCUGGAAAGUGAUAGAAGCAGUUCGUUAACAUUUAGUAACAAGAACUAUGACUAUGUCGAAAGUCUGCCGUACAACGUCGAGGAGAAAGAAAAUCAAGAGCAAGGCUAUUCUUACGACGGUAGCAACUUGGAGAAUGAGUCUCAAUUCUGUGACGCCAAAGCGACUUCAGACUUGGAAAACUUUAAAACACAAACUAAUGUCUUGGAUUGGGCUGCCGAGGUAGAAAUGUCCCUUUCAAAAGGAAAUUCUAAGGAAUCAUUGACGGUCGUUCCAUCUGUACCCGUAACAAAAGGCAGGAGAAAGAAAAAAAGAAGACAGUCGUGGAAAGAAAGUAAAGAAAGAAGUGUUAGUAGGGAGCGUCCUCGACAGAGGGACCAUGUGCAAAGAGGUUCAGUUGAAAAUCUUUUCAACCACAGCAGGAACAACAGUAUUGAGAGAAAUUGGAGAGACAAGUCUCACAGCACCCACUCUACUUGGCAGAGUUCAAACUUUGGAAGAAGAAGCAGGCACAACACACCGGAAAGGAACACCAGGAGGCAAGGAAGCCGGAGGAACUCAUUUUGCGACAACAGUCGACAGAACAGCUCCGAGAGAUACCACGGCGGAAGGCGAGGUGGAAGCCGUAAGAAUUCCUCUUGUGAUAAUAGAAGCAGGCCAAACAGUUUAGAAAGGCAUUCGAGAAGGACAGGAGGCAAGGAGUUGUAUUGCGACAACAGAAGCAGGCAGAACAGCCCCGAGAGGAAGGACCACAGAAAUAGGAACAGAAAUGGCAAAAGGCAAACCGAAGAUGCACACCGAAGGCUAGACUUGCCUAACAAAGACGAGGGAAAACAGGCUGGCAUCAUCGUCUUGCCUCAGCCCUUUGCGUCAGUGCCGAAGUACAAUCCGCCUGUUGUGCAGAGGAAGUUGUUCGACCCUUGCAACCCGGAUAAACCGAUUGUUGUUUCCUCCUCUCGCGUCCAAGAUCAGGACUCUCCUUUCCUGAACAGUAACAAAACAAUAGACUUUUCAAACAUGUUAAUACCUGCCAACGAUGCCAUGAUGACACAAGCCCCUCCAUGGUACAACCCUUAUAAAGAAAACUUUCAACAAUCUCAUAAUCCACAUGUAAUACGUGAGAUUGCCCAUGCUGAUUGUGAACUCCAGUAUUUGCUCGGCACAGGCGAGGCGAUCCUUCAUUAUUGGGAUCAACUGCAGCGACUCAGGUUUUACCUUAAAGAUCAGCUGAAAAUAAUGCUUCUAACUGAUCUGAGGUUUUGCCAAGCGGAAAACGUCGAACAACACUUGUGGAAGAUCCUGUACUACAAUAUUAUUGAAUUGUUGAGAAAGUUCAUAACCGAGAAUCCACAAAUGAAAGAAAAAUACAAAAUGGCGCUAAUUACAAUUAUUGAUGAGGGCUCGGAGUUUUACGAGCGUUUGCUUGAAGAUUUAGAAAACGCUAAUAAAAUAAAUUUGGACAAAUACCUCAACGCUCCCAGUUUUGUAAGAGAAGGAUUGGGCCACAUUGGUUUGGUUUUAAUCGCAGCGCAAAAGAUUUAUCUAUGCCUUGGAGAUCUCGCUAGGUACAAAGAACAAGCCAAUGAUGCCACCAAUUACGGCGCGGCAAGACAGUGGUAUAUGAAAGCGCAUCAAAUCAACCCAAAAAAUGGUCGCCCAUACAACCAGUUAGCUAUACUCGCUAUGUACACUAAAAGAAGGCUGGAUGCUGUUUAUUAUUACAUGCGAUGCCUCAUGUCUUCAAAUCCGAUGGUAACGGCGAAAGACAGCCUCAACUUGCUCUUCGACGACAACAGGAAAAAGUACGAAGCUGUAGACCGCAAGCGAAAAGAGGAUAGGGCGAGGAAGGAAAGGGAGAAAAUGAAAGAAAAAGAAGGAGGCGGGGGCUACAGGAAGGAAAUCUGGAUUCACCCAGGAGGAGGUAAAAAUGUACAUAGAACGACAUCAACUUGUCAGCCUGAUAUCGAUUCAGCCGACGAAGAAUUGUACGCAGCAACAAAUAUUGAGGUCAAUAAAAGGUUUUGCAUGAGUUAUCUUCACGUUCACGGAAAAAUCUUCACCAAAAUUGGAUUGGAAAGCCUGUCGGAGACGAUUCAGCAGAUGUUAAGAGAGUUCAGGGCACUCCUGCAGCAUUCUCCUAUUCCGCUUAAUUCCACCCGGUUUUUACAACUCUUUGCACUCAACAUGUUCGCCAUUGAAAUAACCCAGCCAAAAGGGGACAUCGCGGGUAACGGCACAGACGGUUGCUACAGAUCAGCGCUGCAGGAAAGCGCCCUAGUCGCCUCUCUGCAGAUGUUCAACCUCAUCUUGGAGAGGUUCAUCAAGAUCUUGCAGGAUCAUCUCGCCAACCCGAACAACGCCCACACAAUACCCUCGGACUGCCAGGUCAUUCUUCCAGCUUUGAAGAUUUGGUGUGACUGGCUGACCUCCCAUUUCGAGAUUUGGAACCCUCCUCCGUCUUGUCAAGACUACAAAGUUGGGCCACCAGGAGAUUGUUGGAGCAGACUUGCGGUACUGGUCAAUCUACUCGAAAAGCUCGAGUUUCCAAAAGACCUGUUGUCCGAGGAGAAGAAGGAAGACAGCGAAGUUGUAUUUCUGCCGGAAGACGCGACACUGGCCGGUUUCAACCCUUUGAUUGCCAACUCCCAGGAACCUGUCUAUGUACACGAAGACGUUGACAUGGACUUGGCCCAGAAUUGUUUGAGAAUUCAAAAGAUCCUCUUCUUCGGCUCGGUCUUCCUUUGCGGCCUCGAUCCUCCUGUCCUGAAGGUGCAGAAAAUGGACUCUGGAGAAUCGGAGUACGUCUCUGUAGUCGACACGCCCGGCUCGCAAGAACAGUGUAAGAAUGAGUUGGGGGUGCAGAGCGAUCUUGAAGUCUGCGAGAGUAUGAGCAGCUCGGAGGAGAGCGACGACUCGGGGAAGGCGACCGGGGUCGAGGAGGACGAAACCCUCACCGACGCCUUGAAGAACCUCAUCUUUCGGAAGGACCAGCUCGAAAGACAGCACAGGCGUCAGCAGGCCAGACAUAAAAACAUACAGAAAGUGAUAUCAAUUUCUGAAGUUAUGACUGUGAUGGAAGUACGACCACAUGAUUUGGUUCCUGACACUAACUGCUUCAUCGACUGCCUUCCUCAGAUUGAAGCGCUGCUCAAGAUCUUGCCUAAUCCACAGCACCCUUAUGUCAUCAUGGUGCCUCUCAUAGUUAUGAAUGAGCUUGAAGGGCUCUCGAGGGGCUGCAAGCCGAGCCAGAGUGCCCUACAUUCGGUUAUGGUCAGAGAGACGGCCAGAGACGCGAUGGCCCUGUUCCAGAAAAAGCACCCUGCGCUACGCUGUGUCACGACCAAAGGCUCAGUACUCAUUUCUCCGGCUUUCACCGUCGAGGAAGACACCGCUGUCGACAUGAAGAAUGACGACAAGAUCCUCGCCACAUGCAUAAAUAUUUCCAAAGCUCAUACAAGAGAUGAAGUUACAGAAGGAGGCAAGAAGAAACUGUACAGAGAAGUGGUUUUGCUGACUGAUGACAAAUCACUGAGGUUGAAGGCUAUAUCUCGAGACAUGCCAGUUCGAUCCCUGGCAGAUUUCAUGAAGUGGGCCGGCCUCGGGUGACAGGAUUCAACUCCUGCUUCUUGAAUAUUACUGGACACCAGUGAGAGGUGUUGUGUUUCGGUGUCAGCCGAUUGAGAUAAAAAGGCUCCGAGCGAAUCCUCAAAAAGACGGCCAAUAACGAGCAUUUAACAUCUCCCUUCUUAAUUAGACGACAAAGCAAUAAAUCCAGGGG